CGGGGUGAGUAAUGUCUGGGAAACUGCCUGAUGGAGGGGGGUAACUACUGGAAACGGUAGCUAAUACCGCAUAACGUCGCAAGACCAAAGAGGGGGACCUUCGGGCCUCUUGCCAUCGGAUGUGCCCAGAUGGGAUUAGCUAGUAGGUGGGGUAACGGCUCACCUAUGCGACGAUCCCUAGCUGGUCUGAGAGGAUGACCAGCCACACUGGAACUGAGACACGGUCCAG
rnacentral:rRNA from 1 species